UCCCUGGUGGUCUAGUGGUUAGGAUUCAGCACUUUCACUGCUGUGGCCCAGGGUUCGAUCCCUGGCCUGGGAA
rfam:Sus scrofa chromosome 7.